GCAGCACGGGGGCAACCCUGGUGGCGAGUGGCGAACGGGUGAGUAACAUAUCGGAACGUGCCCUGGAGUGGGGGAUAACUAGUCGAAAGAUUAGCUAAUACCGCAUACGAUCUACGGAUGAAAGUGGGGGAUCGCAAGACCUCAUGCUCGUGGAGCGGCCGAUAUCUGAUUAGCUAGUUGGUGGGGUAAAGGCCUACCAAGGCAUCGAUCAGUAGCUGGUCUGAGAGGACGACCAGCCACACUGGGACUGAGACACGGCCCAGACUCCUACGGGAGGCAGCAGUGGGGAAUUUUGGACAAUGGGCGCAAGCCUGAUCCAGCAAUGCCGCGUGAGUGAAGAAGGCCUUCGGGUUGUAAAGCUCUUUUGUCAGGGAAGAAACGGUUCGGGUUAAUACCUUGGGCUAAUGACGGUACCUGAAGAAUAAGCACCGGCUAACUACGUGCCAGCAGCCGCGGUAAUACGUAGGGUGCAAGCGUUAAUCGGAAUUACUGGGCGUAAAGCGUGCGCAGGCGGUUGUGCAAGACAGAUGUGAAAUCCCCGGGCUCAACCUGGGAAUUGCAUUUGUGACUGUACGGCUAGAGUGUGUCAGAGGGGGGUAGAAUUCCACGUGUAGCAGUGAAAUGCGUAGAGAUGUGGAGGAAUACCGAUGGCGAAGGCAGCCCCCUGGGAUAACACUGACGCUCAUGCACGAAAGCGUGGGGAGCAAACAGGAUUAGAUACCCUGNNAGUCCACGCCCUAAACGAUGUCUACUAGUUGUCGGGUCUUUAUUGACUUNGUAACGCAGCUAACGCGUGAAGUAGACCGCCUGGGGAGUACGGUCGCAAGAUUAAAACUCAAAGGAAUUGACGGGGACCCGCACAAGCGNGGNNGAUGUGGAUUNAUUCGAUGCAACGCGAAAANCUUACCUACCC
rnacentral:rRNA from 1 species